UCCCUGGAGGACUAGUGGUUAUGCUUCGACACUCUCACCGCUGUGGCCCAGGUUCGAUUCCUGGCCAGGGAA